rnacentral:rRNA from 1 species
UUCAGAUUGCAGGCUGCAACUCGCCUGCAUGAAGUUGGAAUUGCUAGUAAUCGCGAAUCAGAAUGUCGCGGUGAAUACGUUCCCGGGCCUUGUACACACCGCCCGUCACACCAUGAGAGUCGGGAACAACCCGAAGUCCGUAGCCUAACCGCAAGGGGGCGCGGCCGAAGGUGGGUUCGAUAAUUGGGGUGAAGUCGUAACAAGGUAGC